rnacentral:rRNA from 1 species
GAUGAACGCUGGCUACAGGCUUAACACAUGCAAGUCGAGGGGAAACGCCGGGGAAGCUUGCUUCCCCGGGCGUCGACCGGCGCACGGGUGAGUAACGCGUAUCCAACCUGCCUCUGACUGAGGGAUAACCCGUCGAAAGUCGGCCUAAUACCUCAUGGCAUCGUCUGCGGGCAUCCAACGACGAUUAAAGAUUUCAUCGGUCAGGGAUGGGGAUGCGUCUGAUUAGCUUGUUGGCGGGGUAACGGCCCACCAAGGCUACGAUCAGUAGGGGUUCUGAGAGGAAGGUCCCCCACAUUGGAACUGAGACACGGUCCAAACUCCUACGGGAGGCAGCAGUGAGGAAUAUUGGUCAAUGGGCGGGAGCCUGAACCAGCCAAGUAGCGUGCAGGAUGACGGCCCUAUGGGUUGUAAACUGCUUUUAUGCGGGGAUAAAGUGAGGGACGUGUCCUUCAUUGAAGGUACCGCAUGAAUAAGGACCGGCUAAUUCCGUG